rnacentral:rRNA from 1 species
UACAGAGGUCUCAAGCGUUGUUCGGAUUCAUUGGGCGUAAAGGGUGCGUAGGUGGCGCGGUAAGUCGGGUGUGAAAUCUUGGAGCUUAACUCCGAAACUGCAUUCGAUACUGCCGUGCUUGAGGACUGGAGAGGAGACUGGAAUUUACGGUGUAGCGGUGAAAUGCGUAGAUAUCGUGAGGAAGACCAGUGGCGAAGGCGGAUCUCUGGACAGCUCCUGACGCUGAGGCGCGAAGGCUAGGGGAGCAAACGGG